rnacentral:rRNA from 1 species
UCCAGACUCCUACGGGAGGCAGCAGUGGGGAAUAUUGGACAAUGGGGGGAACCCUGAUCCAGCGACGCCGCGUGAGUGAAGAAGUAUUUCGGUAUGUAAAGCUCUAUCAGCAGGGAAGAAAAUGACGGUACCUGACUAAGAAGCCCCGGCUAACUACGUGCCAGCAGCCGCGGUAAUACGUAGGGGGCAAGCGUUAUCCGGAUUUACUGGGUGUAAAGGGAGCGUAGACGGUGCAGCAAGUCUGAUGUGAAAGGUCGGGGCCCAACCCCGGGACUGCAUUGGAAACUGUUGAACUGGAGUGCAGGAGAGGUAAGCGGAAUUCCUAGUGUAGCGGUGAAAUGCGUAGAUAUUAGGAGGAACACCAGUGGCGAAGGCGGCUUACUGGACUGUAACUGACGUUGAGGCUCGAAAGCGUGGGGAGCAAACAGGAUUAGAUACCCUGGUACU